AACUUUUGGCAAUGGAUCUCUUGGUUCUGGCAUCGAUGAAGAACGCAGCGAAAUGCGAUAAGUAAUGUGAAUUGCAGAAUACAGUGAAUCAUCGAAUCUUUGAACGCACAUUGCGCCCUUCGGUAUUCCGUUGGGCAUGCCUGUUCGAGCGUCAUUUAAGCCUUCAAGCUUUGCUUGGUGUUGGGUGUUUGUUCCGCCUCUGCGCGUGGACUCGCCUUAAAUUCAUUGGCAGCCGGUUAGUUGGUUUCGUGAGCAGCACAUUGCAAGCGACCCCAGCCCGCCCCCUUCCAUUAAGACCCUUUUUUAGUUUGACCUCGGAUCAGGUAGGGAUACCCGCUGAACUUAAGCAUAUCAAUAAGCGGAGGCU
rnacentral:misc_RNA from 1 species